AGUCGUGCAUGCAGCCUGGUACAGCCGUUCCGAUCUAUUCUUUUACUUUCUUCUUCUUACUUUUUAAUUUACGUUAAAAGAUAAUGUAACACGGUAACACGUUUUUUUCUCACGGUAACACGUCGAAGCUGCACCCUCUCUAACAUGCUGGUAGAGAGAGUUUUAUUUGGGUUUUCUUUAGCGCUGGAAAUGGUUACAUGCCGACACGCGGGACAGAAGCAAGGUCACACUGUGUAUUUCACGGACCAGCAAAUCCCGGCCGGCUUAGCUAACAGAGCGGCGGACACCUCUGCUGAAAUCCGGAGGAAAACACACAGAGGAUGCAGAGGGGGAUCUCAAAGCCGAGGAAAGAGGACCGGGUCGAGACAAUAGAGACUUUUGGAGAAGAGGAGUUCGGUCGGUAAUACUGUUCCAGCUGACCGGAAGUGUACUGAGAGUGAAACUGUUGGAGCCUGCAACUUACAGUUUGAUCAAAUGAUCUAGUACUGUGCUGUCCCCAAAAGAAAUUUCAGGAGAGGACCGCGAGCGCAAGUUGUCUCGAGCAGGAGACCAGAGACGGGGUGCGGAGCCAUGAUUGACUCCACUUAUCGCUGAUUGAAAUGUUGUUGAAGAUUGAAACAUCGAGGCAAAUGCAGAGGAGGGCAGAUAAACUGAUCCCCAAAUUCCUGGACCUGGCAUCAGCAUUACCUUCUGCAACUGGAUCCUUCGCUUUCUGACCAAUAGACCAUCAGUAAAGGGGUUCUGUUUGGGAUCUGCAUGGAGGCAUGGUUUAUUUCCGGUCGAAAGCCGCAUCUAUCGUGCUGGUCACCGAUUGGUUCAUCUGAAGAUUGUGAUGCUCUUUUCCCACUGGUUGGCCUGUGCACCACAGCACCUAGUGUCCAGUUUCAAACACCUUGGGUGUAUAAAGAGUAACACGUAGCUAUCUGGAGAAGGUGGAUCUCAGAGAUGUAUACGGCAUGCAUAUUUUGAUAAUAAAUUAAGCUUUGAACCAUGCUGCACAGAACCAGUGGGAAGAUAUGCUCCGCCCGCACUUUUUAACUAAUUAUCUGUCCGUUGAACGUUCAGAUUUAUAGUUUGAGUAACUUGGUGGAACAUUAAAAGUUUGUUCAAAUUUUUUCUCUUUGUAAAUAAAUGAUUAGUAUAGUUAUUUAUAGUCAGUGUUUUCAGUCCUGCUCUCCAGACCCAUGAAACUUCUUCCUCGUUACAGAGACUUACACACAGCUCCUAUCACACUAUGAUCACCUUCAACCUAAUCGACUCAGCAUUGUCUAAACCUCUCGCAAUUAUACAUCAUCUUCCUUGUUAUUGUCAGAUCUACACCUCCAUCUUUUCCUUCCCAAUCAUCCUUCUUAAAAGUCAAUAUUCCUGAGUACUGAGUUCUCACCUUUGCUUUCUUUGCAGCGCAUCACUGACGCCAGCCUUCCCAUUAUCAUAUAUCCAGAAAAGUGCCGGGAAAAGGCCAGCAAUAUCAUGAAGGACCCUGCCCAAUCUGCUUAUGGACCGUUUGUCCCACUCCCAUCAGGGAAGAGGCUACAUGGUGUCCACGCCAGUACCACUAGACUUAAAAGUAGUUAUUUCACCCAAGCUAUCAGGACUGAUCAACACCUUCACCCAUUGGCCCAUCCCACCACCACUACACACACACACACACCACCUAGCAUGACUUUACAUACAUACAGUCUUCAUCCAUAACAUUGUGUUUUGUAGGAUGGCUUUCAUAUUUACAGAAUAUUUAUGGUUUUUCUAUUGUGUUUUCACUGUUUUUUGU